rnacentral:lncRNA from 1 species
GCCGCUCGCAGCUCCUCACCGGGGCAUCGGGACCCCUCCUCCGUACAUGCCCGAACCACCUCAGCCUCGCUUCCCGCAUCUUCUCGUCCACCAGGGCCACCUAUACCUUCUGUCGAAUAACUUCAUUCUUAAUCUUUUCUAGCCUGGUGUGCCUACACAUCCACCUAAGCAUCCUCAUCUCCGCGACCCUCAUCCUCUGAACAUGUAAAUUCUUCACGGGCCAGCACUCCGCCCCAUACAGCAUCGCAGGU